UGCAUUGGAUCAGAUUUCACCGAGCUCUUUACUGCCUCGACAAAGCUGUUGCCAAGUAAGAGGAAUUUCCCGGGGGGGGGGGGGGGGGGGGGGAGGAAGAAGGGGCUGGUAACUUGUGGCAGUCACUGCAGAUAUCCUAUAUUUUAAAUAGUGCUAAUCCACAAGCAAUUGAACAGUCAUUAAGAAACAGGGCCCAGUGAGUACAAAGAUGGGCAAAGGCGACACACUGGAGACCAUUUGGGUAGUGGGAUGGUGUCCAACAGGGGAAAUUAGUACUCUCUCUUCUCUAAGGACCCCUGGAUGUGUGGUGACUCCUAGGACAGAGAUUUCUCUUUUUUUUUUUUUUUUUUUGAGAUUUCUCAAACCUUUAAUAUUUCCUGGAAAAGAGAAGAGGUUGAGGGGGCUCUGUUUUCAGGGGAAGAACACCUCGCUGUACCAUAUUACCUAUAAUCGACGCCAAGAGAGUCGCAGGAGGAUGGAGGCAUGUGGAUGGCAGAGAACAUCCCUGGAGCUUCUCAACGGCAGGGCCCUUGCCUCCUAGUUUUAUUCCCAGGGCCAUACUUACGGCUGCUGAGUACCCAGAGAUUAACACUUGCCUGGGAAGACCGUAAAGCAGGACCUGAAAUUGAGAAAUACAUAGGUCCCAUCAUGCUGGAAAUGCUGAGAUGCAAUUUUGAAGCUGGACAAGCCCUUGAAGAACACAUGGACAAUGCAUUCAGUUGUGCAGGAUGGCUUGAAAUUCAUUACAUCUAG
rnacentral:lncRNA from 12 species